GCGCACACAAAGGAAAAAAAAAACUCAUCGUCCCCUUUUCAGCGCAAUGGUGGCACGUGAUGGACAAAUGUGAAACAGGAUGUCAAAAAAGGAGAAGUCUUGCAGUCCGUCACAGUUCAAAGCGCGAUGUCAAGUCAUCAAAAUGCACCGCGGGCAAAAUCUGGGAAGGGAAACACUCAGACGUCACGGAGCGGCACUUCUCUCUUCAUGAAACGAGAAAGAGGAAGGAAGAGUGCUCAAUCAGCUUUCUUAUUUGCUUUUGUUUUGUUUUUGUUUUUUUUCUCAAUGGCCAUCGCACCAUUGGGGAAAUUCUUCGUCCUUUCCGCCUACUUUCCACUGUCGACUGUCACUUCUGCAUUUCUGGCGCGUGACCUUUUGAAGUGAGUGAACUCUCCAGCCGCCGGUGCUCCUAUUAUAAUUACCCCUUAAUUAUCCGCGGCUUAAUUGGAUCGCUGCCUCGCUGUUCGAACACUGUAAAAGUCACAAGGCGAUGAUGGAUGCGGUGAGUGAGCGAGCGAGCGAAUGAGUGCUCCUUCACCUCCCCCCCUGAGGGCGGCAAACAAUGGCCGGAAAGAGCGGAGACGGCGGCGGGUGAGGAUUCAAGAGCCAGGAUGUCAGGACAAGGAAGUGGCCAAACUCUCGCCAGAAACAGCCGUGACAACCGCACAUGCGCUUGACACUUGAAUGCCCCAAAAAAAAAAAA